GAUGAACGCUGGCGGCGUGCCUAAUACAUGCAAGUCGAGCGAACGGACGAGAAGCUUGCUUUUCUGAUGUUAGCGGCGGACGGGUGAGUAACACGUGGAUAACCUACCUAUAAGACUGGGAUAACUUCGGGAAACCGGAGCUAAUACCGGAUAAUAUUUUGAACCGCAUGGUUCAAAAGUGAAAGACGGUCUUGCUGUCACUUAUAGAUGGAUCCGCGCUGCAUUAGCUAGUUGGUAAGGUAACGGCUUACCAAGGCAACGAUGCAUAGCCGACCUGAGAGGGUGAUCGGCCACACUGGAACUGAGACACGGUCCAGACUCCUACGGGAGGCAGCAGUAGGGAAUCUUCCGCAAUGGGCGAAAGCCUGACGGAGCAACGCCGCGUGAGUGAUGAAGGUCUUCGGAUCGUAAAACUCUGUUAUUAGGGAAGAACAUAUGUGUACGUAACUGUGCACAUCUUGACGGUACCUAAUCAGAAAGCCACGGCUAACUACGUG
rnacentral:rRNA from 1 species